AUCGAGCUGAGGCCUCUGGGUCACCUCCCACCCGUGUCUAUCGUACCUUGUUGCUUCGGCGGGCCCGCCGUUUCGACGGCCGCCGGGGAGGCCUUGCGCCCCCGGGCCCGCGCCCGCCGAAGACCCCAACAUGAACGCUGUUCUGAAAGUAUGCAGUCUGAGUUGAUUAUCGUAAUCAGUUAAAACUUUCAACAACGGAUCUCUUGGUUCCGGCAUCGAUGAAGAACGCAGCGAAAUGCGAUAAGUAAUGUGAAUUGCAGAAUUCAGUGAAUCAUCGAGUCUUUGAACGCACAUUGCGCCCCCUGGUAUUCCGGGGGGCAUGCCUGUCCGAGCGUCAUUGCUGCCCUCAAGCACGGCUUGUGUGUUGGGCCCCCGUCCCCCUCUCCCGGGGGACGGGCCCGAAAGGCAGCGGCGGCACCGCGUCCGGUCCUCGAGCGUAUGGGGCUUUGUCACCUGCUCUGUAGGCCCGGCCGGCGCCAGCCGACACCCAACUUUAUUUUUCUAAGGUUGACCUCGGAUCAGGUAGGGAUACCCGCUGAACUUAAGCAUAUCA
rnacentral:rRNA from 1 species